rnacentral:rRNA from 1 species
UACAGAGGGGGCAAGCGUUGUUCGGAAUUACUGGGCGUAAAGGGCGCGUAGGCGGCCUGUUAAGUCGAACGUGAAAUCCCCGGGCUCAACCCGGGAACUGCGUCCGAUACUGGCAGGCUUGAAUCCGGGAGAGGGAUGCGGAAUUCCAGGUGUAGCGGUGAAAUGCGUAGAUAUCUGGAGGAACACCGGUGGCGAAGGCGGCGAUCCUGG